rnacentral:rRNA from 1 species
CAGUCGCCGCGGUAAUACGAAGGGUGCAAGCGUUACUCGGAAUUACUGGGCGUAAAGCGUGCGUAGGUGGUGGUUUAAGUCCGUUGUGAAAGCCCUGGGCACAACCUGGGAAUUGCAGUGGAUACUGGGUCACUAGAGUGUGGUAGAGGAUAGUGGAAUUUCCGGUGUAGCAGUGAAAUGCGUAGAGAUCGGAAGGAACAUCUGUGGCGAAGGCGACUAUCUGGGCCAACACUGACACUGAGGCACGAAAGCGUGGGGAGCAAACAGGAUUAGAUACCUGGGUAGUCCCUGUCUCUUAUAC